rnacentral:rRNA from 1 species
UUAGUGGCGAACGGGUGAGUAACGCGUGAGAAACCUUCCUCUCAGUGGGGGACAACAGUUGGAAACGACUGCUAAUACCGCAUAACACUUUAGUAUCGCAUGAUACAGAAGUCAAAGCUUAAUGUGCUGAGAGAUGGUCUCGCGUCUGAUUAGCUAGAUGGCGGGGUAACGGCCCACCAUGGCGACGAUCAGUAGCCGAUCUGAGAGGAUGAACGGCCACAUUGGGACUGAGAUACGGCCCAGACUCCUACGGGAGGCAGCAGUGGGGAAUAUUGGGCAAUGGGGGAAACCCUGACCCAGCAACGCCGCGUGAAGGAAGAAGGCUUUCGGGUUGUAAACUUCUUUUACCAGGGACGAAGGACGUGACGGUACCUGGAGAAAAAGCAACGGCUAACUACGUGCCAGCAGCCGCGGUAAUACGUAGGUUGCAAGCGUUGUCCGGAUUUACUGGGUGUAAAGGGCGUGUUAGGCGGAAAUGCAAGUUUGGGAGAGAAAUCCCGGGGCUCAACCCCGGAACUGCUUUCAAAACUGCAUCCCUUGAGUGCAGGAGAGGUAAGUGGAAUUCCUAGUGUAGCGGUGGAAUGCGUAGAUAUUAGGAGGAACACCAGAGGCGAAGGCGACUUACUGGACUGUAACUGACGCUGAGGCUCGAAAGCGUGGGGAGCAAACAGGAUUAGAUACCCUGGUAGUCCACGCCCUAAACGAUGGAUACUAGACGAAGCGGAAUAUAAAGUCUGCUGUGUCGAAGCAAACGCGAUAAGUAUCCCGCCUGAGGAGUACGGCCGCAAGGUUGAAACUCAAAGAAAUUGACGGGGACCCGCACAAGCAGCGGAGCAUGUGGAUUAAUUCGAAGCAACGCGAAGAACCUUACCAAGACUUGACAUCGUGCGACCGACUAUGAAAGUAGUUUUUCCCUUCGGGGACGCAUAGACAGGUGGUGCAUGGUUGUCGUCAGCUCGUGUCGUGAGAUGUUCGGUUAAGUCCGGCAACGAGCGCAACCCCUAUGAACAGUUGCCAAUAUUAAGUUAGGAACUCUGUUCAGACUGCCGUGGAUAACACGGAGGAAGGUGGGGAUGACGUCAAAUCAUCAUGCCCCUUACGUCUUGGGCCUCACACGUGCUACAAUGGGCGUAACAAAGAGCAGCGAAGUCGUAAGGCUAAGCGAAUCUCAAAAAAACGUUCUCAGUUCGGAUUGUGGGCUGCAACCCGCCCACAUGAAGUCGGAGUUGCUAGUAAUCCCGAAUCAGAAUGUCGGGGUGAAUGCGUUCCCGGGUCUU